UGGUGGCGACCGGCGCACGGGUGAGUAACGCGUAUGCAACCCAUCUAUCAGAGGGGAAUAACCCGGCGAAAGUCGGACUAAUACCGCAUAAAACAGGGGCACCGCAUGGUGAUAUUUGUUAAAGAAAUUCGCUGAUAGAUGGGCAUGCGUUCCAUUAGGUAGUUGGUGAGGUAACGGCUCACCAAGCCGACGAUGGAUAGGGGAACUGAGAGGUUGGUCCCCCACACUGGUACUGAGACACGGACCAGACUCCUACGGGAGGCAGCAGUGAGGAAUAUUGGUCAAUGGGCGGGAGCCUGAACCAGCCAAGUCGCGUGAAGGAAGAAGGAUCUAUGGUUCGUAAACUUCUUUUGCAGGGGAAUAAAGUGCAGGACGUGUCCUGUUUUGUAUGUACCCUGAGAAUAAGGAUCGGCUAACUCCGUGCCAGCAGCCGCGGUAAUACGGAGGAUUCGAGCGUUAUCCGGAUUUAUUGGGUUUAAAGGGUGCGUAGGUGGUUUGAUAAGUCAGCGGUGAAAGUUUGCAGCUUAACUGUAAAAAUGCCGUUGAAACUGUCGGACUUGAGUGUAAAUGAGGUAGGCGGAAUGCGUGGUGUAGCGGUGAAAUGCUUAGAUAUCACGAAGAACUCCGAUUG
rnacentral:rRNA from 1 species